AGACGCUCUGUUUUGACGUGACGAGGAAAGGUUGAGUGUUCAAUGCGACACGUAAAUUAAUCCUUUGCAGGCAAUGACUGCCUUAAGUCUGGAACUCAUGGACAUCACCAAAGAUUGGGUUUGCAGUAUUUUUACACAAGUGCUUAAAACUUUUAACAGUACUGAAGCUUUGCAGCUGUAACACAGAUGCAGUGGGAGAAUGGCUGGCAAAUCAAGUGCAUGCAAAGUUCAGAAUGUGGCUAUCUACCCAUGCACUGAGGUGAGUGAUGGUUCUCAGAAAUGUUUGGAUGCAUAGUGCAUGUGUUCUGCAUACUUCAUGAGAGAAUGUACUGGCUCCUGGGUCAGACAUAACCCAAUGUUUGGCUAGUUUUUGUGUUACUCAGAUCCUGGGUCAGACGUAACCCAGCAGAUGAGUUAUUUAUCAUGGGGAUUUUGCAUCUCAUGAGAUUGCAGUUCUAAGCGCCAUCGCAUUUAUGCAUUUUUCGGUAAAAUACAGGUAUGUGUACUUUUUAUUUUAUCUAUAAAAUCGUUACCAUGCUGUAUAUAAUUCAAUUUUAUGCAUGGAAACAUACAGGCGCACGUGGGGAAUCACUUUUAACGAGUAUCACUGUCUUUUUGCGUGGUGGAAAAGCCUGAUGCUUUACAUAAAAUAAAAUAUUUUAUUUAUACUACUUAUAAUACUUUGGAUGUUAAAACAUGUUAAGCUGUUUAUUGUUCGGUAUUUUUGCAGGUUAUGGAGUCACAGCAUGUUUUGUCUAUGUAAAAUGCAGGGUGGGAGUCUGUUAGCAGUUCCCCGCCGAACACUACUCCAACUUGGGCAAGAGAACCAAUGUCAUUAAAGUGAAAACAGAAUAACCAAGCCUGGUGGAUUAAACGUGGAUUACUUCUUUUUAAUGUUGGAUUUUUCUUCUAAUGUUUGUUAAAUGAGUUUAAAUAUAGAACAAUAUGUGUAGCCUAUUAAAAAUUAUAUAAACAAUGCCUUUAAAUGAUACAUAAAGGAAGUUAUCAUACAAACCAGAGGUUGUGUGGAGUAUUUUAGAAAAGUUCAGUGGAUUUAAGUUAAUCUGUAAACAUUAAUGUGUGUACUAAAAAAAAUGUUUUUUAAUAUAGUAAAAAUGAAUAAACCCAUUAACUUAUGCCGGGUUAAAAAACCCAAUUUGCUGGGUAUAUGUAACCCAAGAUGGGUUCUUUCCUAUAUUUAUCCAAAUUGGAUUGUUUUUAACCCAGUGUUUUUUAGUGUAUGAUGGGUUGUAGCACUUUCUGUAUUAUCGCCCUAAACUGUGGAAUAAGCUGCCCCAUAAUGUUCGUGCUGCCUCCUCUCUUCAGACUUUUAAGUCUCAACUUAAAACUCAUCUAUUCACAUUUUUUCACUAAAUAGCUCAUGUACCCUCUGCUUCUCAACUUCUGUCUUUAUGACACAUGACCACCUUCUUGACAUAAUUGAUGUUCAUCAUAUGAUUGCACAACCUCUUAUUAUUUAUCUGUAGUUCUUUGUUGUCAGUAUUUGCAUGUCUGAAUGGCCCCUCCAUUCUGGCCUUUGUUUUUUUUUUUUUUUGUUUGUUUUUUGUUUUUUGGAGGCUCAGUUUGUAGUUAUAAGUUUCAAAGAAGGCAAUUAUAACAAUAAUAAAAGUAAAUAAUAAUAAUAAAUGCUUAUUUUAUUAGUUGCAAUGCAAAAUAGUUAAUGCGCUUAUCUAAUGCAGCCAACUGCAAUGAUAACACAACUGGUGAAAAAUUUAGAAAAUUUGGACACAGCAACAAGAGCUGAGUUUUCAUAUUUUGUGAUAUGAAAAAUAUAUCACGAUUAUGAUUUUGGCCAUGCCAUCCAGCCCGAUCACCAUUGGAUCUCCAUCCUACUGAGACCCAAUCCGAUACUUAAAUACAUUGCACACAUACAUUUAAGAGUAGUGAAAUCAUUCCAUCUUUUAAUCCUGACAAUCUAAUAACCUGCAUGUAAUUAAUAAAUCAUCUUAUUGUUGUUAUGUAACCUAAGCAAACUUAAUAUUAAAUAUUUUAAUUUGGCUUUUACCAUUUAAGCUUUUUUUACCAUGGCUAACUACAAGACUAAACUAAACAAUGUCUUUAGAAAUGGCUCUUAUAUGUUACCUGAACAGUAUUGUAGAUUUAUGAAAUUCUCAUUAUAUUUUGAUCCACUUUACCAAAAGUGAAAGACCACCGUAUACGCUGUAAAUCAGAAAGAUAUCUACAAAACUCUUUUGUUAUUUUGAGGAGUAUGAGCUCCCCUAGCUGAGAUUGGUUUAUCUCCAUUUUUCCUCUUACUCUUACCACAGUCACUUUGGCUUCACUGGGUUCUUGUUGAUAUAAACAUUACAUGUAUUUCACAUUCUCAGCAUGGUGUGAUGCUGCAGUGUAGGCGUGAUGGAGUAAAGCCUGAUAUGCCAACCACUGAGGAGUGACACAGAUCAUCACAGCCCUUGGAGGGAAGCCCUACUAACUGCACAGUAGCAGUUAGAACAUAAGUGUGUUUGGAAUCAAAAAGCAAAUUUCUUGCAGAGGACACACACUAUGAAUUUAUCCUUCUGGUUUUAUGAGUGUAUUUCAGUCCUGUGGGGAAAGGGAUUAAAUUUCAUCUUGCAUAAUUUCAGCAAUUAUGUAGUUGUAUAACAACUAAUGCUGUGAUUGGAUGUACCAUACUGUCAAAUGGCAGGCUAUUACAGCCUAAUUUAAUGUAUUCAAUUAUUAAAAAUGGAACACAUUUUUAAUAUGUGUGAGUGUUGUAUCAUAUCAGUUUUAUUUGUAUAUUGUUUUUCAUAAUACACUUUGCAUUAAAGCAGUUUUACAGAAA